AUUUAUUUAAUAUAAAAAGUAUGUUAAGCUUCCAACUUAAAUGUUUCCUAUGAAAGUAAGUA
rnacentral:tRNA from 1 species